rnacentral:rRNA from 1 species
UUAAAAAAGGAACUCGGCAAACAAGGAUCCCAACUGUUUAACAAAAACAUAACCUUUAGCCAAACAAAUAUUAAAGGCAACGCCUGCCCGGUGAAUAAUUAAACGGCCGCGGUACCCUAACCGUGCAAAGGUAGCAUAAUCAUUUGUCUACUAAUUAUAGACCUGUAUGAAAGGCAAAAUGAGGAUCCAACUGUCUCUUAUAAUAAAUCAAUUAAACUGAUCUCCUAGUAAAAAAGCUAGAAUAACAUCAUAAGACCAGAAGACCCUGUGAAGCUUAAACUAAACUAUUAAACCAAAUAAUAACUACUUUUGGUUGGGGCGACCUUGGAAAAAAAAAGAACUUCCAACAUAAUGACUAUACCUCAUAUAAACAAUAGGCCAACAAGCCAACAAAUGACCCAGUACAGCUGAUAAUGAACCCAAAGACCAAAU